AUUGAACGCUGGCGGAAUGCUUUACACAUGCAAGUCGAACGGCAGCACGGACUUCGGUCUGGUGGCGAGUGGCGAACGGGUGAGUAAUGUAUCGGAACGUGCCCAGUCGUGGGGGAUAACGUAGUGAAAAUUACGCUAAUACCGCAUACGAUCUAUGGAUGAAAGCGGGGGAUCGCAAGACCUCGCGCGAUUGGAGCGGCCGAUAUCAGAUUAGGUAGUUGGUGGGGUAAAGGCCCACCAAGCCAACGAACUGUCGCUGGGCUGAGAGGACGACCAGCCACACUGGAACUGAGACACGGUCCAGACUCCUACGGGAGGCAGCAGUGGGGAAUUUUGGACAAUGGGCGAAAGCCUGAUCCAGCCAUUCCGCGUGCAGGAUGAAGGCCCUCGGGUUGUAAACUGCUUUUGUACAGAACGAAAAGGUUUCUACUAAUACUAGGAGCUCAUGACGGUACUGUAAGAAUAAGCACCGGCUAACUACGUGCCAGCCGCCGCUGUAA
rnacentral:rRNA from 1 species